AUGACGCUGACAAAACCUUUCUCCGGUGGGGAAAUUAGUGAUGCAUUAUUCCAGAUCGAACCCCUUAAGGCCCCUGGUAUUGACGGAUUCCCGGCGCGUUUCUAUCAGAGGAAUUGGGAAAUCAUGAAGGAGGAUGUCGUAAAGGCUGUUGUUCGUUUCUUUGAGGAGGGAGUUAUGCCCGAAGGAAUUAAUGAUACAAUUAUAGUGCUAAUUCCCAAAACCAAAGACCCAAAGAGUUUGAAAGAUUAUCGCCCCAUUAGCCUCUGUAACGUAAUUUACAAGGUAAUUGCAAAGUGUAUGGUCAACCGCUUGCGCCCUAUGUUGGAUGAGUUAAUCUCCGAAACUCAGAGCGCAUUUAUCCCAGGGAGAAUGAUCACGGAUAAUGCCCUCGUUGCCUUUGAGUGUUUCCAUAAAAUACAGACAGGUAAAAGGGGUCCCAACUCCUUCUGUGCGUGUAAGUUGGAUCUAGCCAAGGCCUAUGACCGAGUGGAUUGGAAUUUUCUUGAAGGUGUUCUUUCAAAGAGUGGAUUUAGCAGAAAGUGGACUGACUGGGUAAUGCAAUGUGUUCGAUCGGUUAGAUAUUCUCUGAGAUGCAAUGCCGACUUACUGGAACCGUUCAAGCCUACCCGAGGCCUAAGACAGGGAGACCCGUUGAGCCCCUACCUUUUCCUCUUCGUUGCGGAUGGGCUUGUGAGCAUGCUAAAGAAAGAGAUCGCUGAGGGCAGUUUGACACCCAUUAAAAUAGCCAGAAAUAGUCCGGGCGUCUCUAACCUCCUCUUUGCAGACGAUAGCUUACUCUUUUUCAAGGCGACGGUGGAGCAAGAAAAAACCAUCAAAAAGGUCUUGGCUGCAUUUCAGAGAGGGACUGGACAACUUCUGAGCGCAAGCAAAUGCUCACUUCUAUUCAGUGAGCAUUGUCCUAGUGAGACUCGGCAGGAGAUUAUGAGAGUCUUAGAAGUGGAAACAGCAUCUUUUGAGAGUAAAUAUUUGGGCCUCCCAACACCCGAGGGGAGAAUGAAAGAUGAACAUUUCCAACCUAUUAUGGAUAGAUUUGGAAAGAGAUGCAACGACUGGGCCGAGAGAUUCAUGUCCUUUGCAGCAAAGGAAGUGCACGUAAAAUCAGUUGUCCAAGCCUUGCCCACAUUCAUAAUGGGUGUCUUUAUGCUAUCUAAAGGCUUCUGUGAGAAAUACGAGAGAAUGAUACGGGAUUUCUGGUGGGGAGAUGAACACGACCACCGAAAGGUUCACUGGAUGUCAUGGGAGCGCAUGACUAGGCCAAAGCGAGCUGGUGGGAUAGGCUUUAGAGAUAUGCACCUCUUUAACCAAGCUCUCCUUGUGAGGCAGGCAUGGAGACUAAUUCAAAAGCCUGACAGUCUAUGUGCAAGGGUCCUAAAAUCUAAAUACUGCCCGCAUGGAAACUUGUUGGACACGGUAUUUGCUUCGGAUGCAUCCCCAGUGUGGAGAGCCAUUGAGUUUGGUCUAGAACUUCUGAAGAAGGGCAUCAUAUGGCGUGUGGGAAACGGAAGAAGUAUCCAGAUACAACGAGACCAGUGGUUACCAAGAAGAGAGGGACUUAUGACAGCAGCGUUUAUAAGGAGGUCGAGGCUUAGAUGGGUAAACCAACUAAUGGACCAGGAUAGGAGAGAAUGGAAUGAGGAGUUAGUUCGCCAAAUUUUCUACCAGUUCGAUGCGGAUGAAAUUUGUAAAAUCAAAAUUCCAAACAGGGAGGUCGAGGAUCGUAUUGCGUGGCAUCUAUUUAUAUAA
rnacentral:rRNA from 1 species